UUUGACCCAUGAAUAUGUUGCCUUAAUUUUAGAGUGAAUCCUUAUGUCAAUAACAUCAUGCUGUUAUUAAAUGAGAUUGUGUGUUAGAUUUCAAGAAAUGAAACUUGCUAUUAUGCUUUGUCCAUUUAUCAACAAAAUGAGUCCACACUCACAUAAUCAGUUUUUAAGCUUAUUUUUUGUCAAUGUGUUGCAUUACAUUUUUAAAAACAUCUGUGUGAUUGGCUGCUGGAGGAUAACUGCAUCUUUAUUUGAUUCCUUAAAUACAGGAAUGUGCAACACUAGUCUUUCAGAGGUUAUUCCUAUAACCCCUGAUCAUUGGCUAGAGCUGCUGGGACUUGUAAGUCAAAAGCAUCUGAAGGGUUGUAGUUGCGGACCAUGCUUAAGCAGGAUUACAUCCUUACUAUGGUUCUGAAACUGAAAAAUGAGAGGCCCUGACCCUCCAGAUCUUCACUCACUAACCUGGAACUCUUUAUUUAUGUGUUUAUUGAUUUACUUACUGCAUAAGAAAUCAAUUGGAGAGAUCAUAAGAGUACCAACAAAAUGUAGGAAUCAAAUUAUCAUGAUAUUGUCAUUCCAAUAUCUAAUGAACAUGUUACAAUUUUUAGUUUCUUACCAGAUGGUGUUGGCUCCACAUUUGGGAUGAGAGACAGCUUGGGUAAGAUGUUGUCAGAGUACCUACCUCCUUAUCACUGUCACCACUCAGUUUUCAUUGGCUUGUUCUCAGCCCAAUAUGCAUCACUGCGCAGUCAAUUGCAGUUCCUUUACCUUUCUGUGCUGCAGUGAGGAGGAGGAGGGGCAGGCAAGUCUAGAAAUGGGCUCAUAUACCUUCUUCUGGAGUGCCUGCCAAUGUCAGUCUAUGACAUGGGCCUGUUUUCAGAUUUCUUUCCUACCUGGACAUGCUGCUAGUAUCUCAGAUUUCAGAAGGCCGUUCCUUUAAUGGAGACUAGUUAGCUAGAGUAGAUCCAUAGAAUCAAUGGAAUUUAUGCAAAUAUUCUCUCUUCAUUCAACAGCUGAUUCAAAGAAAGACUAUAGUUACAACCACCAAGAGAAUGUAAGUAAGAAGACACAGAGAAACUAAAUAUAUAAGAACAGCCAUGAUUGUUGCUGAUUAAAAAAACACUACUA